CCUGAUAGCAAGUAACAUUGCGCA
rnacentral:tRNA from 1 species